UAGCAGGCUGAUGAUUUAAUUGCAACAAUCUUCAGAGCUCUCUCAGUGCCUACAGGGGGAUAUUUAAAGGUAGAAGUUAGUCUCAACCUCACCAGACAUCUGCUGGAGCCCCCGUGCAGUCACUCACGAGGCUGCUCAGCAGAGCCACCCGAGCAGGAGCACCGGCUGCUCUGAUCCACCUCUCCCUGCCUGCCGCAGAGCAAGCCAAGCAAGGGACCAAAAGCAACAGAUGACAAUGGUUUCCUUCAAUAACACAGGUACACAGAGAUGCAGGAGAAAGCCAAACCAUUUCCUCUGGUGAAGUUACAAGCCCUAACAGAGUUAGGAAAAAGUUGAUGGUGGAUAGCAGCCUCUUUGGAUCUGCCAUGCGUGAAGUGUUGACAGCAGCACUGAACGAGGCAAUUGAGUCAUUCCAGGCGUGGACGUCACUUGGAGGCUGACUACAGCACAGCAGAUGCUCUCCCAAGGUGUGGGUGGCAUUUUCCCACCACAAGAAAGAUUUCAAUGAACUGCAUGGUUUCAGAUGGAUGUGUAUAAUGCCUUGCAAAAUUAAACCAAAUGUGAAUGCAUUUUUUUUACAUGGGAAAUUCUGCAAGCAAUACAAAUGACAUUUGGGUUCUGCCUUGAGAAAACAUUUGGAAGGAGUAUUUACAAAGGGAAAUCUAGUUUCUCCUUUCACAGUGCACUUCAUUUUUUACAAGUAAUAUUUCUGUUAUUGUUGUAGGUGCCAAGGUCAAAACCCUCUUUAUUUAAAUGGAGUAAAUGCAAAUGUGCUGUGAGACACCAAGUUUACACCACAAUGGGUAAUGACUGUUCAUUUAUUUGUAAGAAAGAACAUUUGCAGUUUAUUUUUGAGCCAAAAAGAUUGUUGGCCGUUAUUACACGUAUGAAAAUGUGGUAUCUCAUUUAAAAUGUGGCAGCAGCUACUGACAGAAGCAAAACUAACCCCCAGAAAACACUGUAUAUAGAAUAACUGUUUUCGAAAUAUGAAUGAGGUUACAUUUGGAUGUGAUCUAUGUGUUAUUAAAAUCAAAGAUUUCCCUAGGCAGAAAGCCAUUAAGCCUGAGUUAACGCCAUAAAUAUCUAACAGCUACUUCAGGUGGAUAAUUCUGAUUAAAAUACUGCUGUAGCUUUCUCAAAUCACACUCCAUGAAUACGGGUCUGGAAAUUAGGAAUACGAUGUUGAGCAGUUACCAACUUGCUUAUAGACGUGACAGGGGAGAGUUUGCCCGGAGCGCCAUUAGGUGCUUGGUGGUAGGGCUCUGGCAGGGUCAGCGGGUGCCAGGGGUGCCUCUGGCACAGCCUCGGCUCGGCGGCUGCAGUGCCUGCACAGGAUGUGAGGAUUUGGAUUUAAUUUCCUCCUCUGCCUCACAGAACUUCAACCUGCAGCUCCCAUUCCCGGGAGAGCUGGGGAGACUGCUGGCUAAUGAGGCAGGAAGGAAAUUUCUUUCAGUCCACCCUAUUAAAGCCGUAUCACUUUGUACAGAAUCAUUAAGUAUUAAUUGGGCCAGAAAGAAGGUAGGGGGAUGCUGUGGAUAGCUGAGUCCUAAGCCUGCUCCAGCCAGUGUUUAAUUUUCUCCUAUCAAGCUGCCUUUCGAGCAGGGUUUGGCCACAGGCCUGCCUGCUUGCAGCGGUACGAAAUUACCAUCCCUUGCUGGUGUGCCUGGAGACGUGGGGUGCAGCACAGGGACAGCCACCCUCACACCUCCUGAACAGACCCCUUCUGAGGGCAUGGGGCCGGGCAAGCAGGGAUGUCUGCAGAAAGUCGGCUCUGGUGGCCUGUAGGCCUUGCUCAUCUGCAUGGAGGUCACACCUGGGAGACCAGGCCUAUUAGUUCAGGCCUCCCCGCGCAGGGCUGAUAAUUAUUUACAGGUUUUCCACAGCCCUGAUGGAUGAUUUGUGCACUGCCCCACUGGGUUGAAAGGAGGCAGCCAGCGUCCAUGCCCUGUUUCGUGUGACAUCCAACUGAAAAGAGGUGCUCAGAAGAAGCCUGCUAGAGCCAACAGAGUGGGGCCCUCUGGCAGCGUCAGCCUCGACCACCUCCCAGUCCUAGCAGGUAUUUAUCUCCCCACAGCUCACUUUGUAAGCAGCGAGUACAUCUGGACUACCCUUUGGCUCACAAAGGAUGGAGGAUCUUGAUUUUAAUUCUGCUUGCCCUUACGGCUUACAAAUAUGCAAUUACACAGGUGGAAUGAAAAUGAGAACAAUCAGGCAGAGAGCUACAUCUAACCAGUGCCGCCUCAAAGGAAGACAAACUUCCUCGUUCGCUGCCAAGGGAGCAGCUCAGAUGUGCCCCGGUGUGCCAGCCCCCCUUCCCCUGUGUGAAUCAGUUCUCUUGUGGCUUAAGGGCUGUGUCAGGCAUGACCUGCACGUAGCUGGAUCAAACUCCCAUUAUCAUUUCAUGUUUUCUAAUUCAAGACUGCCAUUUCCAUACUGUUUUACUUUAAUUUCAAGAACUCUAACCUCAUUGGUGAAACACUAUUUUUCCUCUGAGUUGAGACCAAGAAGACGGUAAUCUCUCUGAUCGAUGCCUCUGAGGUUUCCAAGAGAACGUGCUGAAAUCCCAAAGGCAGUUUUAUGGUGUCAAUUCAAGAUGCUUCCUAUUUCUAAUAAGAAAGCUAUAUGAUUUCCAAUGUUCAUAGUGUUGU